rnacentral:misc_RNA from 1 species
GAUGAAGAACGCAGCGAAAUGCGAUAAGUAAUGUGAAUUGCAGAAUUCAGUGAAUCAUCGAAUCUUUGAACGCACAUUGCGCCCGCCAGUAUUCUGGCGGGCAUGCCUGUUCGAGCGUCAUUACAACCCUCAGGCCCCCGGGCCUGGCGUUGGGGAUCGGCGGAGCCCCCCGUGGGCACACGCCGUCCCCCAAAUACAGUGGCGGUCCCGCCGCAGCUUCCAUCGCGUAGUAGCUAACACCUCGCGACUGGAGAGCGGCGCGGCAACGCCGUAAAACACCCAACUCUUCUGAAGUUGACCUCGAAUCAGGUAGGAAUACCCGCUGAACUUAAGCAUAUCAAUAAGCGGAGGA